ACUCCUACGGGAGGCAGCAGUGGGGAAUAUUGCACAAUGGGGGAAACCCUGAUGCAGCCAUGCCGCGUGUGUGAAGAAGGCCUUCGGGUUGUAAAGCACUUUCAGUAGGGAGGAAGGUAGUGUAGUUAACACCUGCAUUAUUUGUACGUUACCUACAGAAGAAGCACCGGCUAACUCCGUGCCAGCAGCCGCGGUAAGUACGGAGGGUGCGAGCGUUAAUCGGAAUUACUGGGCGUAAAGCGCAUGCAGGCGGCCUGUUAAGUCAGAUGUGAAAGCCCGGGGUCUUAACCUCGGAAUUGCAUUUGAAACUGGCAGGCUAGAGUCUUGUAGAGGGGUUAGAAUUUCAGGUGUAGCGGUGAAAUGCGUAGAGAUCUGAAGGAAUACCAGU
rnacentral:rRNA from 1 species